rnacentral:rRNA from 1 species
AGAGUUUGAUCAUGGCUCAGAUUGAACGCUGGCGGCAGGCCUAACACAUGCAAGUCGAACGGUAACAGGAAGAAGCUUGCUUCUUUGCUGACGAGUGGCGGACGGGUGAGUAAUGUCUGGGAAACUGCCUGAUGGAGGGGGAUAACUACUGGAAACGGUAGCUAAUACCGCAUAACGUCGCGAGACCAAAGAGGGGGACCUUCGGGCCUCUUGCCAUCGGAUGUGCCCAGAUGGGAUUAGCUAGUAGGUGGGGUAACGGCUCACCUAGGCGACGAUCCCUAGCUGGUCUGAGAGGAUGACCAGCCACACUGGAACUGAGACACGGUCCAGACUCCUACGGGAGGCAGCAGUGGGGAAUAUUGCACAAUGGGCGCAAGCCUGAUGCAGCCAUGCCGCGUGUAUGAAGAAGGCCUUCGGGUUGUAAAGUACUUUCAGCGGGGAGGAAGGGAGUAAAGUUAAUACCUUUGCUCAUUGACGUUACCCGCAGAAGAAGCACCGGCUAACUCCGUGCCAGCAGCCGCGGUAAUACGGAGGGUGCAAGCGUUAAUCGGAAUUACUGGGCGUAAAGCGCACGCAGGCGGUUUGUUAAGUCAGAUGUGAAAUCCCCGGGCUCAACCUGGGAACUGCAUCUGAUACUGGCAAGCUUGAGUCUCGUAGAGGGGGGUAGAAUUCCAGGUGUAGCGGUGAAAUGCGUAGAGAUCUGGAGGAAUACCGGUGGCGAAGGCGGCCCCCUGGACGAAGACUGACGCUCAGGUGCGAAAGCGUGGGGAGCAAACAGGAUUAGAUACCCUGGUAGUCCACGCCGUAAACGAUGUCGACUUGGAGGUUGUGCCCUUGAGGCGUGGCUUCCGGAGCUAACGCGUUAAGUCGACCGCCUGGGGAGUACGGCCGCAAGGUUAAAACUCAAAUGAAUUGACGGGGGCCCGCACAAGCGGUGGAGCAUGUGGUUUAAUUCGAUGCAACGCGAAGAACCUUACCUGGUCUUGACAUCCACGGAAGUUUUCAGAGAUGAGAUGUGCCUUCGGGAACCGUGAGACAGGUGCUGCAUGGCUGUCGUCAGCUCGUGUUGUGAAAUGUUGGGUUAAGUCCCGCAACGAGCGCAACCCUUAUCCUUUGUUGCCAGCGGUCCGGCCGGGAACUCAAAGGAGACUGCCAGUGAUAAACUGGAGGAAGGUGGGGAUGACGUCAAGUCAUCAUGCCCCUUACGACCAGGGCUACACACGUGCUACAAUGGCGCAUACAAAGAGAAGCGACCUCGCGAGAGCAAGCGGACCUCAUAAAGUGCGUCGUAGUCCGGAUUGGAGUCUGCAACUCGACUCCAUGAAGUCGGAAUCGCUAGUAAUCGUGGAUCAGAAUGCCACGGUGAAUACGUUCCCGGGCCUUGUACACACCGCCCGUCACACCAUGGGAGUGGGUUGCAAAAGAAGUAGGUAGCUUAACCUUCGGGAGGGCGCUUACCACUUUGUGAUUCAUGACUGGGGUGAAGUCGUAACAAGGUA